AUGAAAAGUGUAACUUUAGCCUCUCAGCUGUACGUCUCAAUCCAUAAUCCUGCCCCAAAAACCCAGAGAAGAGCUUGCUGCCACUCUCACGUUGUUCCCCACCGGUGCUGGUCCAGCCUGGGUAUGUUUAUGGCAUUCAGUUUAGUGCCUUUGCCUUACUUGCCAGCUGAAAGGGAUUUAGUGCAACAAUUUUCAGUCAGGCUACUACGAAUUGCAGCAGGCUGCAUGGAGGGCAACAGAAUCCUGCUCUUCUUGUAUACAAGUUAUUUACAUUAACACUGGAUGCCAUACCCUACUAUAAAAUGACAGCAUAUAUGGAGAGUAUGUGACAACGCAUGGCCAAGGUUGGAGUCUGUGUGCAAACACAGAUGCAGAAGCAUCGUCCCAAUCUAGCAUGCAGACUCUCGGGCACAGGUGAGCCUUGCCCUCCAUGCUCCCCACCGUGCUUCUACCCUACUCCAGCUCAGCCAUGGUCCAAGGGUCAGGCCUAAGGCUCAGCAUGCAACUGCUCCUGGUCACAUUAGGUCCCAGCACCCCUGAGAUGGGUCUGCAGAAUGCCAUGCUCUGAGACGUUUGAUGUCACGGUGAGAGAGGCUCUGUUACUGUGCCUUUAAUUAGCUCCAGCAGCUGCCACUUCCUGGUCCAAGAACGCCGCCACACUCCACUAUCUGGCUAAUCUCUUGCAGGACGAAUCACUGAGUGGACGAACGAACUUCUCUGAUAUACGGCGCUGAGGGACGGAGAUGACGCGCUGCUGUGUGGACAUGCAGAGCGGCAGAGUGAUGGAGCUGUAGAGGGCUGCUUACAUUCACACUUUGAUGUACAGCAUCCAUUAAACCGUGUUGUUUCAGCUCCUGUCCCUGCAGAACCGAGCUGUUCUUCUGUCUGCUGUGCUCCACGCCUCACAAGUCUCCACCAAUUGUUCUCCGCGAUGAGUGCGGAGGUCUCCGGUGUGGUCUGGAUAUUUUGGAUAAGGGAGAUUAUUCUGGAUGCCAUUUCUCAUAAAUGAGUUAAUGUGGCUGUUAUGAUGAGAGAAUGAUGCAUUUAUCAAACACUAAAUGCGAGGCACUGCUCUGUGUGUCAGCGGCCGAGGACGUGCCAGGAGAAACUCUAGAGAGCUGCGCUGGACUGCAGACAGCAGGAAUUUGCCAGCUGUGAACACAAACACAAACACUGAAAAUGUCCCACUCACUGCAGUCAUUACUCAUGUUGUACACCUGCAAGUGUAUGCUAUAUUGUGUGAAAUGUGACAUUCUGGAUUGAAAGGUCAGAUAUGAGUUUCUAUUUAUUAUCUAGCCAUAUUAUAAUAACACAAUAGUUUCUAUUGUUAAUCCAGUGUUAAAGGAGUACCUUCAGAGUUCAUUUAAGGCCUCUAUGUGUAUCACUGGGUCGAUUACUCCAGACAAAAACUUGGACACCUUUCUCUGUUCAUAAGAACAGAAAACCCAUUGACUCUGAACACAUUUAUAAUAGAAGCCAAUGGGCAGCUUUUUCAGCACCAAAUCAAUGUGUUCUCUGUUCUUCUACUAAGUGCAUGGAAACAGGGAAAUUAUUCACCAUGGUAAUCGAUUGCAAGCUGUAUACAGCUUGAGAUUUGGCUGAAAAAUAGAGAAAUAUUCCUUCAACAAGGUCGAUUGUACAGUUGUGUCAUGUAAAAUGUACAACUUCUAGCCCAUUACUCAAGAAGCUCAAGGGGGAUUUUAUUCCAUAUGCUGAAUAAAAGUUUUCUUGCCCAUUACUGCUCCACAUGCCAAAAUUUUAGCAGAUGCUAUAACAACUCAACAGACCUGUACAUCAUCUGGCACUCCUACACUAAUGAAGACUCAUGUUGCCCCUGUGAUCAACUGUUAUAACACCAUCUGCCAUCCUACCUUUCUGUGCACUGACCAAGUCUCGUCAGUGGUUAUAAAGAAGCUGUACUCCUGUGAUAUGGCUUGUCAUGUAGCCUAAAAAAAGUGAAAUUAAUGAAUGAAAGUUGAUUAAUACAGCACUGUGCCACUUUCUUCAGCAUCAGGGAAAAAACAGAAAGAGUUUAAUUCCAAAAUACUGGUGUAGCAUUGUCAUUCCUUGUAUGUGUAAAGCCACAAUCUUUGAAAGCAAAGCCUCAACAACUAAGUAUGACAUCUGUUUCAUUAUUUAUGUGUCCCCCUUUGCCUUUAUUCCAGCUUAAUAUUCAUUUUCGGGAGAAUUGCUUUCUUGCUUUUUUUUUUUAAAGAAAUCUGCCUGGAUAUUUUUCCACACCUCUAAAAUUCAGUGUUAGAAGUUGGUUGCAUUUUCUGCUUCUCAUAAUCCAACUAAUCCCAAACAUUCAGUGAUGUUGAGGUCUGGACUCUGGGGUGGCCAGGCUAUUGUUUAGAGAACACCAACCGUGCCUUCGAUCUAUUAGUCUUCCUUUUUUUCCAUAGUAACACAUUCUUUCAGACCCAUAGUGUUGAGUUGUCUUCUCAGAGUGGAAGGAUGGACAGAAACACCUGAAGUCUGAAGCAAGAGUGGAGAUCGAUUUCCUCCUGUCUCUCAAAGAUGAAAGCUUUUAUCUGAUGGUGACAGUUAUGGUGGUCUACCAGGACUUGCACAUUUAUUAGGAAUCUCUCUAUAGAACUAGUAAUAAUUCUUUGAACUACAGUUUUGGGCAUUCCUGUUUUUCACAGAUUUUCCUUCGACGUUCCGCUUCCUUAUGCAGGAAUAUCUCUUGAAAAAUAAAUAACUUGAGUUUUAAUUUUUAACUGGACAUUAAAUAAAUCAAGGCUGGCCUGAUUUUUGUGCAUUAUUGUAUAUUCCUUUCUCUUUUUCUCAUAACUUCAUCAUCUGAAUCUCUUCAAACAUGCAGAGCCUGAAAGGCCAGUUCUUACACUGCUCCUAUUAAGUCAACCAGCAGAGCAUUUUGCCUGCAAAUCAAAGUGAAUUUUACCUAAUGAAAUUACAUUUCAUCUUUGCCCUGUCUGUCACUGAUAGCUUAUUGGACUGCACCAUGCUUUCUAUAAUGGAAAACACUUCAUUUCCUGGCUUUGAAAUUAAACAGCCAAUAGGAUCCAUUUUUAGACCCACCAGAUGAUGCAUUUUCACGAGUUUGGUCAAUAGAACCAAAUCUUGGUAAACACGUGGGAGUUCCGAACGCUUUUUUCUUUCAGCAGAUCCAUGACAAGAUGAACAUUAAAAAAAGCAAUAUUCAGAACUUCACGAGGCUUGCUUUCAAAAA